CAAACUCUUACAGUACUCACUGCAAUCACCGAUACAUAUCUAUGACGAUUAAUAGUUAAUUACUAUCUAUAUUACAUUGCUUUGCUGCUUUCUACUGUGAUUUUUGUGCAAGGAUAGUUCCUCAUGCCGAGAAAAGAUUUAGGCUUCAUGUGGUGGCUUACGAUCAAACUGGAAAAUUGGAUGUUAUAAUCAGUGAUCGUGAGGUUUACGAGCCUCAUAGGUUCAUAGGUUACAGAGCUAGAGAUGUUAUACCGGAGGGAGCUCUUCCGGCUUUCUUUCCAAAUCAGUUGAGGCAGUUUACAGACAAACAUUCACAAUCAUGCUGCAAAUUUGUGAUGAGAACGUUAAGAAGAAUGUUAAAUUGUACUCGGCAACAAACAUCUGCAUGUGAUUCAAACGGGGUAACACAGUGGACUCAGGAAAAACAGAAGAACAAAGGGCAUCUACCAGUACUUGCCCAACUGAAACAACAACAUCGUACUAUCAUCUUCAAGGCGCUACAGAAGACAACUUAGACUCAUCAACCGUUACUCAGAAACAGUAAAAUGGCUGCAAAACUCUUUUGCUCUGUCCAUGAGUACAUGGGUGUAAUUUUAUUUGUGUCUGCACUAACAAACAACAGUCUGUAAUUUUAUCCAAAUAUGUAUUUGGAUUAACUUAUGUUAUCUUUUGUUAUCAGA